UACGUAGGGGGCGAGCGUUGUCCGGAUUUAUUGGGCGUAAAGAGCGUGUAGGCGGUUCGGUAAGUCUGUCGUGAAAUCCUGAGGCUCAACCUCGGGCGUGCGAUGGAUACUGCCGGGCUAGAGGGUGGUAGAGGCGAGUGGAAUUCCCGGUGUAGCGGUGAAAUGCGCAGAUAUCGGGAGGAACACCAGUAGCGAAGGCAGCUCGCUGGGACGGUACUGACGCUAAGGCGCGAAAGCGUGGGGAGCGAACAGG
rnacentral:rRNA from 1 species